GGACGGUGAGUAACACGUGGGUAACCUGCCUGUAAGACUGGGAUAACUCCGGGAAACCGGGGCUAAUACCGGAUAACACCUACCCCCGCAUGGGGGAAGGUUGAAAGGUGGCUUCGGCUAUCACUUACAGAUGGACCCGCGGCGCAUUAGCUAGUUGGUGAGGUAAUGGCUCACCAAGGCGACGAUGCGUAGCCGACCUGAGAGGGUGAUCGGCCACACUGGGACUGAGACACGGCCCAGACUCCUACGGGAGGCAGCAGUAGGGAAUCUUCCGCAAUGGACGAAAGUCUGACGGAGCAACGCCGCGUGAGUGAAGAAGGUUUUCGGAUCGUAAAACUCUGUUGUUAGGGAAGAACAAGUGCCGUUCGAAUAGGGCGGCGCCUUGACGGUACCUAACCAGAAAGCCACGGCUAACUACGUGCCAGCAGCCGCGGUAAUACGUAGGUGGCAAGCGUUGUCCGGAAUUAUUGGGGCGUAAAGCGCGCGCAGGUGGUUUCUUAAGUCUGAUGUGAAAGCCCACGGCUCAACCGUGGAGGGUCAUUGGAAACUGGGGAACUUGAGUGCAGAAGAGGAAAGUGGAAUUCCAAGUGUAGCGGUGAAAUGCGUAGAUAUUUGGAGGAACACCAGUGGCGAAGGCGACUUUCUGGUCUGUAACUGACACUGAGGCGCGAAAGCGUGGGGAGCAAACAGGAUUA
rnacentral:rRNA from 1 species